UAAUACCGCAUACGUCCUACGGGAGAAAGGGGGGGAUCUUCGGACCUCUCGCUAUCAGAUGAGCCCAAGCGGGAUUAGCUAGUUGGUGGGGUAAAGGCUCACCAAGGCGACGAUCCCUAGCUGGUCUGAGAGGAUGAUCAGCCACACUGGAACUGAGACACGGUCCAGACUCCUACGGGAGGCAGCAGUGGGGAAUAUUGGACAAUGGGCGAAAGCCUGAUCCAGCCAUGCCGCGUGUGUGAAGAAGGCCUUCGGGUUGUAAAGCACUUUAAGCGAGGAGGAAGGUUCGUCACCUAAUACGUGACGGAAUUGACGUUACUCGCAGAAUAAGCACCGGCUAACUCUGUGCCAGCAGCCGCGGUAAUACAGAGGGUGCAAGCGUUAAUCGGAAUUACUGGGCGUAAAGCGCGCGUAGGCGGUUGUGUAAGUUGGAUGUGAAAUCCCCGGGCUUAACCUGGGCACUGCAUUCAAAACUGCACGGCUAGAGUAUGGGAGAGGAAGGUAGAAUUCCAGGUGUAGCGGUGAAAUGCGUAGAGAUCUGGAGGAAUACCGAUGGCGAAGGCAGCCAUCUGGCCUAAUACUGACGCUGAGGUGCGAAAGCAUGGGGAGCAAACAGGAUUAGAUACCCUGGUAGUCCAUGCCGUAAACGAUGUCGACUAGGUGUUGGGGAACUUGAUUCCUUAGUGCCGCAGCUAACGCAUUAAGUCGACCGCC
rnacentral:rRNA from 1 species